rnacentral:rRNA from 1 species
GACGAACCGUGCGAACGUUGUUCGGAUUCACUGGGCUUAAAGGGCGCGUAGGCGGCUUGCCAAGUCAGGGGUGAAAUCUUUCGGCUCAACCGGAAAAGUGCUUCUGAUACUGGCGGGCUGGAGGAGGGUAGGGGCAGAUGGAAUUCCCGGUGGUAGAGGUAGAAAUUCGUAGAUAUCGGGAAGGAACACCGAGUGGCAGAAGGCGGCGAUCUGGGAAGUAGUACCUGACGCUGAGGUGCGAAAAGCGUGGGGAGCAAACAGGG